rnacentral:rRNA from 1 species
UACGUAGGAGGCAAGCGUUGUCCGGAAUUACUGGGCGUAAAGCGCGUGUAGGUGGUGGGACAAGUCAUGCUGUGAAAGCGCCUGGCUUAACCGGGCGAGGUCGGCGGAAAGCUGUCCGACUCGAGGACGGUAGAGGGGGGUGGAAUUCCCGGUGUAGUGGUGAAAUGCGUAGAGAUCGGGAAGGAACACCUGUGGCGAAGGCGGCCCCCUGGGC